CCUGAACGCUGGCGGCGUGGUUAAGACAUGCAAGUCGCACGGAACCGUAGCAAUACGGUUUAGUGGCGAACGGGUGAGUAAUGAAUCGCUAAUGUACCCCGGACUCUGGGAUAGCCGGUCGAAAGAUCGGGUAAUACCAGAUGAUAUAUUCUUAUCGCAUGAUGAGAAUCUCAAAGGUCCGCCGGUCUGGGAGCAGGCGAUUUUGUAUCAGCUAGUUGGUGAGGUAACGGCUCACCAAGGCGACGACGCAUAGCCGGACUGAGAGGUUGGCCGGCCACAUUGGGACUGAGACACUGCCCAGACUCCUACGGGGGGCUGCAGUAACGAAUCUUCCGCAAUGUACGAAAGUAUGACGGAGCGACGCCGCGUGUAGGACGAAGCCCUUCGGGGUGUAAACUACUGUCAAGGGUUAGAAAGUCCCUGAUCAACCCCUAGAGGAAGGCACGGCUAACUCUGUGCCAGCAGCCGCU
rnacentral:rRNA from 1 species